rnacentral:rRNA from 1 species
UGAGGAAUAUUGGUCAAUGGGCGAGAGCCUGAACCAGCCAAGUAGCGUGCAGGAUGACGGCCCUAUGGGUUGUAAACUGCUUUUAUGUGGGGAUAAAGUGCGUGACGUGUCAUGCAUUGCAGGUACCACAUGAAUAAGGACCGGCUAAUUCCGUGCCAGCAGCCGCGGUAAUACGGAAGGUCCGGGCGUUAUCCGGAUUUAUUGGGUUUAAAGGGAGCGUAGGCUGUCUAUUAAGCGUGUUGUGAAAUAUACCGGCUCAACCGGUGUCUUGCAGCGCGAACUGGUCGACUUGAGUAUGCAGGAAGUAGGCGGAAUUCAUGGUGUAGCGGUGAAAUGCUUAGAUAUCAUGACGAACUCCGAUUGCGCAGGCAGCUUACUGUAGCAUAACUGACGCUGAUGCUCGAAAGUGCGGGUAUCAAACAGG